rnacentral:rRNA from 1 species
CAGUCGCCGCGGGAAUACGUAGGGUGCGAGCGUCAAUCGGAAUUACUGGGCGUAAAGCGUGCGCAGGCGGCUUUGCAAGACAGAUGUGAAAUCCCCGGGCUCAACCUGGGAACUGCAUUUGUGACUGCAAGGCUAGAGUGCGGCAGAGGGAGAUGGAAUUCCGCGUAUAGCAGUGAAAUGCGUAGAUAUGCGGAGGAACACCGAUGGCGAAGGCAAUCUCCUGGGCCUGCACUGACGCUCAUGCACGAAAGCGUGGGGAGCAAACAGGAUUAGAUACCCCAGUAGUCCCUGUCUCUUAUAC